rnacentral:rRNA from 1 species
AUGGACGGCGGGGAGACCCAGGUCGUGGACGACGGAGGGACGCCGCCGUUGGGGUCUCCAGUUAGCUCCGGCGCCACGACGCAGAGCGGGGGCGAGGAGGAUGACAACGGUCUGAGAUUAGGGUCUCCAGUUAGCUCCGGCGACACGACGCAGAGUGGGGGAGACGCCGGCGUGCUGUAUGGUGAGACGCAGCCGCUGGACGAGGACGACGAGACCGAGCCGGUUGAUGAUGAAUUUGAGGGGGAGGGGGAGGAGAGGAUGUCUGAUGACACGCAGGUGGUGGAGGACUCAGAGGAUGAUGCCGGUGGCGUCGCUGGGCAGACGCAGGCGGUAGAGGAGGAUGAAGAGGAAGAUGGUGGCAGCACGGAGGAUGAAGCUGGUGACGGGGAUAGGACCCAGUUGAUUGAAGAAUGCGAGGUUGAGGAUGGUGGGAGUGGCGAGACCCAGUUGGUCGAGGAAUGUCAGGGAGAGGAGAGAGUAAAUGAUAGCAGCGAUGAUGAGGCUGCCGUUCAACGGGGGACGACCCAGUUGGUCGAGGAAUGUCAGGAAGAGGAGAGGGUAAAUGAUAGCAGCGAUGAUGAUGCUGCCGAUCAACGUGGGAUGACCCAGUUGGUUGAAGACUCGGAUAAAGAGAUGGGUGAUGAUGCUGACGAUGAGUUGAGCCAGGGCACUCAAGUGCAAAGUGACGAUGAGGGCCUGCCAAAUAAUGAGACAUAUGUGAAGGAUUAUGCCGAGGAUUCGGUAGAUUCUGAUGCUUCCACGGAAGAAGAGGGUGACACAGUCAGAAGUUUGGAACGAGGGAAAAGGCAUGAUUUGACCAAUGGAACAUUUCUCCGAACGGAAAUUGUAGACAACUCUACCUCGUGUAAUGCGUUCUUUGGUGAUUGCCCAGGUCGUGGGAUUGAUGACGGGUCUUUUGGUUAUGUACAGAGCCAUGAAAAAGACGGGAGUAAAAGCAAAGGCAGGUGCUCAACAGCAAAGAAGCUUUUUGCUGACACAACGAACGAAGAGAAUGAAAUCAAGAGCAGGUGUUUUGCUGGACUAAGCUAUCUCGGAUCACAGGAGCCUGGUGAGCUAUCUCAAGCAAAUGCUUUGGACUUUGUGGAAGGGUUGAUCUCAAUUAAUGGCGGCAUAUCGUCUCAAGAACCAACACCAAAAAAAAUAGAAAAAGCAAAGCCACCUGUUUCAAUUAAGAUGGGAACUUUACUAUUGGCUGAGAAGGUUGACCGGCAUAGAAGUUCCAGAGGAAAGGCAGAAGUCUUUGCAUGGGUGGAUAGUCGCGAGGAUGAUGGCGGAGGUGAUUUUUUCAGGAAAAACAAGGAUAUCUUGUUGCAACAAUCAGCUGGCAGAGGGAAAUCAAACAUUCCCAGGCCAAAGAAGUGCUCCACCAAAAUUGCACCUCCUGACAAGAAAAUAAUAGAGGGAUGCAAAAGGAGAACGAAGUCCAAACCUUGUGAGAAGACUGAAACUUUACCUUUAUCGGAUUUGAGACUACUAAAAAGUGAGGUGAAGAGUAAGAAGGCUUCUGGAAAAAGGACUAAGAAAAACCUUUUGAAAGACUUGGAUGAUCAUCUAUCAACUGCCAAACCUAUUAAAAGACAGCUGGAAAAGGUCAGUGUGGAUUUGCAUGAUGUUGGUCAGGAUACUCAAAUGGCUAUCGAAGCUAUAGAAGCACUGGCACAAAGUUCCCCUGCUGAAAACUUGUCAGCCGAAGUUGAACCUCCAGUGAAGAGAGAUCUGAGAGUUGUAUCUAAAGUAGAAAAAAGUAACCCAAAGAGUGACCCUCCUAGAAAGAGAACCAGCAGCGUCCAGGAAGGUGUCACGACACGUUCUAAAAGAAUAAAAGUAACUGAGAUGAACCACAAACCUCAGAAAGACAUGCGACAAAAUUUAGAAGAUCGUGCAACAAAGGAGAAACAUAAGCAGGCAAAGCCAGUACCACAGAAGAAUAAAGUUGCGAAGAUAGUUGAUGGAAAUAAGUAUGACAGUACACCUAUUGCUCAUCGAACAAGGCACACUGGUAGAAAUAACCUCUAUGAGUCUCCUGAGUUAUGUUCUAAUAAGAACUUAAAGAAGGCCACUGUUGGAGAAGUAAGAAAUAAUCAUAGUGAACAUGUACUCGAGAGACCGAUGAUUAGUGAGAGAACCGCAGAAUAUGGUUCGGGUUCUGUGUUAAAAGAAAACACAGAGAAUACAUGUGCAAAUAAUGCUCAGGGUCUUCAGCAAAGUACUGAUGCAAGCAUUCGGCAUACCAGUGCAAAUGUUGCUCAGAACCUUGAACCAUUAAGAGAUGAACCAACAACUCAAGUCUUCCGCAGAGAGCCCUCAUCUCACCCCAAACAGAGAAGAACACCUACUGCAGUUGUACAGGCAAAGGCUCCUGCAGUUACCGAGGCUGCUAUAGGUCAUGAUGUGACAAGGCCAUCCAAGAAAAGACGGAUUUUUAUUAGCAGUUCAGAACUGCUAACGUAUGCAAGGAGGGAGCGCUCCGAUUGCAGAUCAACUUCUUUGCUGUCUAGUAUUAUCACACAAUCAUCAGCUGCUUCUCCUGUACUUGAUUCUUCAUCGGGAGUUAACAGCAAAACUUCUGGUUUUAGUAGCUCUGAUCGGCGACAAAAGAAAUCACCCGGUGUUAAGAAUGCAAGCAACUCACCAAAAUGUAACUCUCCAGUUCCGAAUAGUGCCCUGAAAACAUCUUCUAAAGUGGUAAACAAAUUGUCACCUACUUUCAGUCCUCUAAAUCCUUCAAAAGCUUCAAAUAGGAGCUUGUUGAAAUCCUCUGUUGCCAAAGAGCUGCUGGAGUUAGAUCCUGAAAAUGCUCUACCAAGUCGAUACCGAAAGGAUUCUAGAAGAAAAGAUAUGACGAGUUGCAGUAUUAUUUUCAGCCAUCAUUUGGAUGAGGAUGUGAUCAAGCGUCAGAAGAAGAUCUUGGCACGCUUAGGAGCCCAUGAAGCACUUUCCGUUGCAGAUGCAACACAUUUUGUGGGGGAUGGUUUUUACCGCACAAAGAAUAUGCUGGAGGCAGUUACACGUGGCAAACUGGUGGUGACAUCAAUGUGGCUUGAAAGUUGUGGAGCAGCAGGCUGUUUUGUAAACGAUAAGAAAUAUAUUCUGAGGGAUGCCAAAAAGGAAAAGGAGAUGGGUUUCAGCAUGCCUAUAUCACUGGCAUCAGCUUGCAAGAGUCCUCUGCUCUUGGGGAAAAGAGUGUUUGUGACACGAAAUGUGAAGCCAAGUCGAGAGGUGGUGACUAGCUUGGUUUCCGCAUCUUCUGGGCAGCCAUUGGAGAGGAUGGGUAGGUCCAUAAGGAAGGAAAAGGAAGCACCAGAUGACCUACUGGUCAUCUCAUGUGAAGAGGACUACGAAACAUGCGCUCCACUCGUCGAGAAAGGUGUUGAUGUUUUCGAUGCGGAGCUUCUGCUGAACGGUAUAGUCACCCAGAAGCUCGAUUACGAGAGGCACCGCCUUUUCUUGGACCGUGUGAAGCAGACCCGCUCGACGAGGUGGCUGAAAGACGGUGCGCACGGGCGGUUUGUGCCCGUAUCGAAGAGUUGA